rnacentral:rRNA from 1 species
GAUGAACGCUGGCGGCGUGCCUAAUACAUGCAAGUCGAGCGAACAGACGAGGAGCUUGCUCCUUUGACGUUAGCGGCGGACGGGUGAGUAACACGUGGGUAACCUACCUAUAAGACUGGGAUAACUUCGGGAAACCGGAGCUAAUACCGGAUAAUAUUUCGAACCGCAUGGUUCGAUAGUGAAAGAUGGCUUUGCUAUCACUUAUAGAUGGACCUGCGCCGUAUUAGCUAGUUGGUAAGGUAACGGCUUACCAAGGCAACGAUACGUAGCCGACCUGAGAGGGUGAUCGGCCACACUGGAACUGAGACACGGUCCAGACUCCUACGGGAGGCAGCAGUAGGGAAUCUUCCGCAAUGGGCGAAAGCCUGACGGAGCAACGCCGCGUGAGUGAUGAAGGUCUUCGGAUCGUAAAACUCUGUUAUUAGGGAAGAACAAACGUGUAAGUAACUGUGCACGUCUUGACGGUACCUAAUCAGAAAGCCACGGCUAACUACGUGCCAGCAGCCGCGGUAAUACGUAGGUGGCAAGCGUUAUCCGGAAUUAUUGGGCGUAAAGCACGCGUAGGCGGUUUUUUAAGUCUGAUGUGAAAGCCCACGGCUCAACCGUGGAGGGUCAUUGGAAACUGGAAAACUUGAGUGCAGAAGAGGAAAGUGGAAUUCCAUGUGUAGCGGUGAAAUGCGCAGAGAUAUGGAGGAACACCAGUGGCGAAGGCGACUUUCUGGUCUGUAACUGACGCUGAUGUGCGAAAGCGUGGGGAUCAAACAGGAUUAGAUACCCUGGUAGUCCACGCCGUAAACGAUGAGUGCUAAGUGUUAGGGGGUUUCCGCCCCUUAGUGCUGCAGCUAACGCAUUAAGCACUCCGCCUGGGGAGUACGACCGCAAGGUUGGAACUCAAAGGAAUUGACGGGGACCCGCACAAGCGGUGGAGCAUGUGGUUUAAUUCGAAGCAACGCGAAGAACCUUACCAAAUCUUGACAUCCUUUGACCCUUCUAGAGAUAGAAGUUUCCCUUUCGGGGGACAAAGUGACAGGUGGUGCAUGGUUGUCGUCAGCUCGUGUCGUGAGAUGUUGGGUUAAGUCCCGCAACGAGCGCAACCCUUAAGCUUAGUUGCCAUCAUUAAGUUGGGCACUCUAAGUUGACUGCCGGUGACAAACCGGAGGAAGGUGGGGAUGACGUCAAAUCAUCAUGCCCCUUAUGAUUUGGGCUACACACGUGCUACAAUGGACAAUACAAAGGGCAGCGAAACCGCGAGGUCAAGCAAAUCCCAUAAAGUUGUUCUCAGUUCGGAUUGUAGUCUGCAACUCGACUACAUGAAGCUGGAAUCGCUAGUAAUCGUAGAUCAGCAUGCUACGGUGAAUACGUUCCCGGGUCU